GGAUAUAUAGCUCAAGUGGUAGAGCCCAUGUUUAGCAUGCACAGAGAUCCUGGGUUCAACCCCCAGUACCUCCU
rnacentral:tRNA from 1 species